rnacentral:rRNA from 1 species
GACGAACGCUGGCGGCGUGCUUAACACAUGCAAGUCGAACGGAAAGGCCCUGCUUUUGUGGGGUGCUCGAGUGGCGAACGGGUGAGUAACACGUGAGUAACCUGCCCUUGACUUUGGGAUAACUUCAGGAAACUGGGGCUAAUACCGGAUAGGAGCUCCUGCUGCAUGGUGGGGGUUGGAAAGUUUCGGCGGUUGGGGAUGGACUCGCGGCUUAUCAGCUUGUUGGUGGGGUAGUGGCUUACCAAGGCUUUGACGGGUAGCCGGCCUGAGAGGGUGACCGGCCACAUUGGGACUGAGAUACGGCCCAGACUCCUACGGGAGGCAGCAGUGGGGAAUAUUGCACAAUGGGCCGAAGCGCGAUGCAGCAAGGCCGCGUGCGUGAUGACGGCCUUCGGGUUGUAAACCGCUUUCGCCUGUGACGAAGCGUGAGUGACGGUAAUGGGUAAAGAAGCAACGGCUAACUACGUG